rnacentral:sRNA from 1 species
CAUAGCAUAGAAGGCACAUUCAGGCCCAGAAACACACAGUCAAAAUUCUAGUUCCGUUCGGAGCGGACGUGUGAAAAAUCAGAUCCCAGUAAAAAACAAAAAAAAUAAAAUUUUAGUUUUUGUCUCUGUCAGUUCAGUCUUGGGUCUUACAGACAACGCACUGAUCCUGCACCGUCGAGGGAUGUCCCAAAUGCGCAGAGGGCCUCGAUGGAUGCCUUGCGGAUGACCUCCUGGAAGUCAUCAAAAGCGUCGAACUGCGAGUUCCUUCAAGAUUAAUGACGCCUCCUCCUUUUCCAAGACAAAGUCGUUAUCCAUUUGCAACUCGUUCGAAUCCUUAUUGCCAUCGGCCUCAUCAUGAUUCUUGUUGACAUUGUCGUAUUUUGUGGAUGCCACCAUUUGAAGCAUGCGUUCGGUAAUCUUCACGGAACGCGGGGGCCAUAUUCUCAAUCACAACGAACGAUAGUCCGCCCGUUUCAGGUCUGGAUCAGCUGGUCCCAGCGUUGCACUCAAACAGACUGAGAACAAACCAACUGACAAAUGUGGCACAAGCGCAUCCCCAAGGCUCUCGCAGACAACUUCCAGAGCAGAAGAUGCGACUCAUGCAGUUGGCGAUCGAGGUCAGUGCAUCGAUGCACUCCGUACUACUCCGCCGAACGCGCGAACAAAACUGCAAUGGUGUCUUGUGGAAACAUGUUCGAUUCUUGGCAUCUCCAAAUGUAAGCUGACAGCUCUCACUCAGCCGGCCUUGAUUGUUGCUCCGGCAGUUGCUCCACCAGCAGCUUCUCGCGCAACAGAUAUUGCAUGGGUUUCAUCUUCACCGCUGGGAUUUGCGGGGAUUUUUUAAGCUCGUCCUCGUCUUUGCCCAGGGAUCCGGCGAGUGGAUCCGGCGAGAGCGCGGAGGAAGCUAACGAGAAGUGGGAGCGAAGGCUGACGGAUCGUCGGUACAAGUGCAGCCCUGUCCGGCAUCUCAACGGUGGCCAUCGCAUCGAAAACGAGUGCGCCGAGUCUGGCUUCGAUCGCCCAAGAUACGAUGUAGUUUUGUAUGACUUUGAACCUGACCUGAAACGGGCCUGCCGUUCGUUGUGUAUGCGAAUAUGGUCACUGCGUUCCACUAGAUUUUCGAACGCUUGCUUCAGACAGUUGCAUCCACAGAGCAUGGCAAUGACAACGAGAUUGAUGGUGAUGACGAUGACGAUAACGGUACAAAUGAGUUGCAGGUGGCGACCGACUGUGCCUUUGAGGAGGAGAAGGCCACAUAAGCCUUAAAGGAACUCGCUGUGGGUUCAAGCAAGGUCUUCGCACGCCAGAUCUUGUCAGGGUCUCACCUUCGCCGCUGGCAUUUACUGGUAUUUGUUGAGGUCAUCCUCGUCCUUGACCAGCGAGCGGCGAGUGGAUCCGGCGAGAGCGGGAAGGAAGCUAACGAAUGGUGGGAAGAAGAGGACCGUGCCUGGCUUGUCGAGCAGUAGUCUUGCCAACCCGGCAUGGAGAAGUGCACCAAGUGAGACCGAAGGCUGUCUCAUCUACCAAAGACCAGCUUUGUGGAUUGGUACAACGUAUUUCUGCCAUUGAUCGAUACAACAGAGAAUUUCAUUCACAAAUAUAUACAAAUUAACAGUUGAAAA